CUAACUGGAGGACCGAACCGACUAAUGUUGAAAAAUUAGCGGAUGACUUGUGGCUGGGGGUGAAAGGCCAAUCAAACCGGGAGAUAGCUGGUUCUCCCCGAAAGCUAUUUAGGUAGCGCCUCGUGAAUUCAUCUCCGGGGGUAGAGCACUGUUUCGGCAAGGGGGUCAUCCCGACUUACCAACCCGAUGCAAACUGCGAAUACCGGAGAAUGUUAUCACGGGAGACACACGGCGGGUGCUAACGUCCGUCGUGAAGAGGGAAACAACCCAGACCGCCAGCUAAGGUCCCAAAGUCAUGGUUAAGUGGGAAACGAUGUGGGAAGGCCCAGACAGCCAGGAUGUUGGCUUAGAAGCAGCCAUCAUUUAAAGAAAGCGUAAUAGCUCACUGGUCGAGUCGGCCUGCGCGGAAGAUGUAACGGGGCUAAACCAUGCACCGAAGCUGCGGCAGCGACGCUUAUGCGUUGUUGGGUAGGGGAGCGUUCUGUAAGCCUGCGAAGGUGUGCUGUGAGGCAUGCUGGAGGUAUCAGAAGUGCGAAUGCUGACAUAAGUAACGAUAAAGCGGGUGAAAAGCCCGCUCGCCGGAAGACCAAGGGUUCCUGUCCAACGUUAAUCGGGGCAGGGUGAGUCGACCCCUAAGGCGAGGCCGAAAGGCGUAGUCGAUGGGAAACAGGUUAAUAUUCCUGUACUUGGUGUUACUGCGAAGGGGGGACGGAGAAGGCUAUGUUGGCCGGGCGACGGUUGUCCCGGUUUAAGCGUGUAGGCUGGUUUUCCAGGCAAAUCCGGAAAAUCAAGGCUGAGGCGUGAUGACGAGGCACUACGGUGCUGAAGCAACAAAUGCCCUGCUUCCAGGAAAAGCCUCUAAGCAUCAGGUAACAUCAAAUCGUACCCCAAACCGACACAGGUGGUCAGGUAGAGAAUACCAAGGCGCUUGAGAGAACUCGGGUGAAGGAACUAGGCAAAAUGGUGCCGUAACUUCGGGAGAAGGCACGCUGAUAUGUAGGUGAAGUCCCUCGCGGAUGGAGCUGAAAUCAGUCGAAGAUACCAGCUGGCUGCAACUGUUUAUUAAAAACACAGCACUGUGCAAACACGAAAGUGGACGUAUACGGUGUGACGCCUGCCCGGUGCCGGAAGGUUAAUUGAUGGGGUUAGCGCAAGCGAAGCUCUUGAUCGAAGCCCCGGUAAACGGCGGCCGUAACUAUAACGGUCCUAAGGUAGCGAAAUUCCUUGUCGGGUAAGUUCCGACCUGCACGAAUGGCGUAAUGAUGGCCAGGCUGUCUCCACCCGAGACUCAGUGAAAUUGAACUCGCUGUGAAGAUGCAGUGUACCCGCGGCAAGACGGAAAGACCCCGUGAACCUUUACUAUAGCUUGACACUGAACAUUGAGCCUUGAUGUGUAGGAUAGGUGGGAGGCUUUGAAGUGUGGACGCCAGUCUGCAUGGAGCCGACCUUGAAAUACCACCCUUUAAUGUUUGAUGUUCUAACGUUGACCCGUAAUCCGGGUUGCGGACAGUGUCUGGUGGGUAGUUUGACUGGGGCGGUCUCCUCCUAAAGAGUAACGGAGGAGCACGAAGGUUGGCUAAUCCUGGUCGGACAUCAGGAGGUUAGUGCAAUGGCAUAAGCCAGCUUGACUGCGAGCGUGACGGCGCGAGCAGGUGCGAAAGCAGGUCAUAGUGAUCCGGUGGUUCUGAAUGGAAGGGCCAUCGCUCAACGGAUAAAAGGUACUCCGGGGAUAACAGGCUGAUACCGCCCAAGAGUUCAUAUCGACGGCGGUGUUUGGCACCUCGAUGUCGGCUCAUCACAUCCUGGGGCUGAAGUAGGUCCCAAGGGUAUGGCUGUUCGCCAUUUAAAGUGGUACGCGAGCUGGGUUUAGAACGUCGUGAGACAGUUCGGUCCCUAUCUGCCGUGGGCGCUGGAGAACUGAGGGGGGCUGCUCCUAGUACGAGAGGACCGGAGUGGACGCAUCACUGGUGUUCGGGUUGUCAUGCCAAUGGCACUGCCCGGUAGCUAAAUGCGGAAGAGAUAAGUGCUGAAAGCAUCUAAGCACGAAACUUGCCCCGAGAUGAGUUCUCCCUGACUCCUUGAGAGUCCUGAAGGAACGUUGAAGACGACGACGUUGAUAGGCCGGGUGUGUAAGCGCAGCGAUGCGUUGAGCUAACCGGUACUAAUGAACCGUGAGGCUUAACCUU
rnacentral:rRNA from 1 species